CUCAUUUCAUAAUGAGGCGCACUUCCGGUUCUAGACCUGGGGAGUGCGGCUCCUGCUUUCUACUAGAGGAUAUACAGAUGAUGCCACAUGUCUAUGGUGAUCUCUCUUCAGCUUUCGGGAAUUGCCUUCAAUCUUAUCCAGAGCAGUGGUUCUCAAAGUUCAGCCUGCAGCAGAAUCAACUGGAGAACUUGCUAAAUGGAGAAUACGAGGCACCCCUAGAGCUUCUGACAGAGCAGGUCUGCCCUGCCAAGUUCUCUGGGAAUCCCUCACACUGUGCCUCAUUUGUGUUCACAAACAAGUGUCUCCCAUGGACUUUUUCUCCUGCUCUUUUCCCACUUCCAGAAGCUGACUGGCUUACAUUUCCCACAUCUGACGAUGCGCCUUCAUGACCCAUCAUGUCUGUGAGGCUCCCAGAGCUAUUUGCCGACACUUGAAGACCCAGAGUAGCACUCGCUUCUGUAAGUUUACUAUUAGCGGAAAAUACUCUUUAUUCCGUGGUGAUCAUGACACCUUCAAGAAGACACCUUAACGGAAAAAAAGGAACCUAGGUUGUUCUAGGAACGCUAUGCUUAUGUGCAGGGACAAUGCCUUCUUGCCACAGCGACCGCUUGCUUUCGCAUAGAAUGGCUCCUGAAUUAAGAAUACUGUUCGCAGGGCCACCCCGCCGGGAGCAAGGCUGUGACAGCCGCGGAACUGCUUACCUGCGGGGAGAGUCAGCUUGUGCGAUGUUCUCCCUGCACCAGAAGGAGAAAACUAAUCCCAGCCAGUUCUAUUUAAAUGAAUAAUGAUCUGGGGUCACUUCGCAUCCUGUGGAGGUUAACGACU
rnacentral:lncRNA from 1 species